rnacentral:ncRNA from 1 species
CCGACCCGUCUUGAAACACGGACCAAGGAGUCUGACAUGCGUGCGAGUCGACGGGUUUUGAAACCUGGGAUGCGCAAGGAAGCUGACGAGCGGGAGGCCCUCACGGGCCGCACCGCUGGCCGACCCUGAUCUUCUGUGACGGGUUCGAGUUGGAGCACGCCUGUCGGGACCCGAAAGAUGGUGAACUAUGCCUGAGCGGGGCGAAGCCAGAGGAAACUCUGGUGGAGGCUCGAAGCGAUACUGACGUGCAAAUCGUUCGUCUGACUUGGGUACAGGGGCGAAAGACUAAUCGA